AAUAGCACUCUGCAGCUUUUCAUACAGCAUGAGCUUGUUAUUCAUAUAGAAAUACUCCAAGACAGUUCUUAGAACUUGGGAUCGUCUGUUUUUUGUGAUGGAGUUUGUGAAUGGGGGUGACUUGAUGUUCCACAUUCAGAAGUCUCGUCGUUUUGAUGAAGCACGAGCUCGCUUCUAUGCUGCAGAAAUCAUUUCGGCUCUUAUGUUCCUCCAUGAUAAAGGAAUCAUCUAUAGAGAUCUGAAACUGGACAACGUCCUGUUGGACCACGAAGGUCACUGUAAACUGGCAGACUUCGGAAUGUGCAAGGAGGGGAUUUGCAAUGGCGUCACCACGGCCACAUUCUGUGGCACGCCAGACUAUAUCGCUCCAGAGAUCCUCCAGGAAAUGCUGUACGGGCCUGCAGUAGACUGGUGGGCAAUGGGCGUGUUGCUCUAUGAGAUGCUGUGCGGUCACGCACCUUUUGAGGCAGAGAACGAAGAUGACCUCUUUGAGGCCAUACUGAAUGACGAGGUGGUCUACCCUACCUGGCUCCAUGAAGAUGCCACAGGGAUCCUAAAAUCUUUCAUGACCAAGAACCCCACCAUGCGUUUGGGCAGCCUGACUCAGGGAGGCGAGCACGCCAUCUUGAGACAUCCUUUUUUUAAGGAAAUCGACUGGGCCCAGCUGAACCAUCGCCAACUAGAACCACCUUUCAGACCCAGAAUCAAAUCCCGAGAAGAUGUCAGUAAUUUUGACCCUGACUUCAUAAAGGAAGAGCCAGUUUUAACUCCAAUUGAUGAGGGACAUCUUCCAAUGAUUAACCAGGAUGAGUUUAGAAACUUUUCCUAUGUGUCUCCAGAAUUGCAACCAUAGCCUUAUGGGGAGUGAGAGAGAGGGCAUGAGGACCCGAAGGGAAUAGAGAUUUUCCAGGAAUUUCCUCUGUGGGACCUUCCCAGCAUCAGCCUUAGAACAAGAACCUUAACUUCAA
rnacentral:sRNA from 1 species